CUGGCACAGUAUUCUGCUGUCUUGUGGUAGCCAUGAACUCAAAUAUACUUAAAACAAAACAUUCUAUCAAACUAUGAGCUGUUGGAGGAGUAAAAGCAUGGAAUGUAUCAGCAGAUCCUAAAAUUGAAGUCUAAGCCAAAUAACUCAGCUGACCUGGGCAGAUGUCUACCUGGCAAAAUGUCUAAUUAUCUCUAGUACCUAACAGCCCCAUACUUCUUUGAACGACCAAAUGGAAAAAUAAACAAGCAUCAGGAUCUAAAGAAAACAAAUACAAAAAGCAGGUCUGUGUGGAAGAACUUGAGUAGUACUUGACCAAGGGAACGACAAACAAGGGAGAAAGUAGAACUGGAGAGAUAAGAGUAAAGGGAAGGAGAAACAGUAGUUAAAGGGCCAUGUUUAGGGAAGGAGGUCUGUUGGGCUAAGCUGCCUUCAUCCAGGUUGAAAUUCUCUCCCUUUGAAUCCUUAGAUUCCCAAAAGUGAAAGUGAGAUGGGCACAAAGAUGGCUAUUGAAGUGUCCUUCCACCAUAUUGAUGGGGCUUUUGCAUACGGAAAUGAAAAAAGAAGUUGGACAGGCAAUCUGAGUGAAGAUUGCAGAUGGGACAGUGACCAGAGAGGACAUAUUCUACCCGGAGAAGCCUGGGAAGGAUUUAUUCCCAUUGGAUGAAAAUCAAAAAGCUGUUGGUGACUGUGGAUUUGCAUGAUACUUGGGAGGUCGGUGACUUGUGGAAGCAGACAACAAAUAUGCUGUGGCUUUGAGGUAAAGAUAGCCCUGCCUAACAGUGAUUGUGACUGGAAAGGGAGAACCUCAAGUAGCUGGAAGCGAAUUUUCUCAAAUGAAAAGAUGCCAGACAGCUUGUUAAAUGGAGUAUGAGCAAGGCUAGAAACAUAGACUUCUAAUUUUAGCUCUGACACUGAUUUGGGGAUAUUGAGUGAGUCAUCUCAACUAUCAUUUGAAGAAUGAGGGCAACUGGACUAAAUCAUAGUGAAGACUCUUGAGGUUAAUGGUUUACUCUCUUAUUCUAUAUUAAUAUAAAAAGUAUAUAAGUGUAAAUUAAUGAGGAUUGACAGGCUAAUCAGAAAAUUGAGGGAAUUACAUAUUUUAAGGUAUUGCUAAAGCAGCCUUGAUUGGUGACAGUGGGAUCUUG
rnacentral:lncRNA from 1 species